rnacentral:rRNA from 1 species
GGGCCCGCACAAGCGGUGGAGUAUGUGGUUUAAUUCGAUGCAACGCGAAGAACCUUACCAGGGUUUGACAUCCUGCGAACCUCUUGGAAACGAGAGGGUGCCUUCGGGAACGCAGUGACAGGUGGUGCAUGGCUGUCGUCAGCUCGUGCCGUGAGGUGUCAGGUUAAGUCCUAUAACGAGCGCAACCCACGUCUUUAGUUGCCAGCAUUUAGUUGGGCACUCUAGAGAGACUGCCGGUGAUAAACCGGAGGAAGGUGUGGAUGACGUCAAGUCAUCAUGCCCCUUACAUCCUGGGCUACACACGUACUACAAUGCUACGGACAAAGGGCAGCAAGUUCGCGAGGAC